rfam:Schistosoma mansoni strain Puerto Rico chromosome 4, complete genome
AUCCAACUGACGAGUCCCAAAUAGGACGAAACGCGAGUCAAACUGGAU